rnacentral:misc_RNA from 1 species
GAUGAAGAACGUAGCGAAAUGCGAUAAGUAAUGUGAAUCGCAGAAUUCAGUGAAUCAUCGAAUCUUUGAACGCACCUUGCGCUCCUUGGUAUUCCUUGGAGCAUGCCUGUUUGAGUAUCAUGAAAUCCUCAAAAUAUAUCUUUCGUUCAUUCGAUUGGUUUUAUUUUGGACUUGGAGGUCUGCAGAUUCACGUCUGCUCCUCUCAAAUGCAUUAGCUGGAUCUCAGUGAGCUCGGUUCCACUCGGCGUGAUAAGUAUCACUCGCUGAGGACACUGUAAAAAGUGGCCGGGAUUGCAGAUGAACCGCUUCUAAUCGUCUAUUAGCUUAGACAAUUAAAUCUUAUGAUCUGAUCUCAAAUCAGGUAGGACUACCCGCUGAACUUAAGCAUAUCAAUAAGCGGAGGA